rnacentral:lncRNA from 1 species
GCUGGAGCUCCAUGCAGGGAGGGUGUGAGUGAGAAUCAUUCUGAUAGACUCCUCUGAGUCCACUCGCUGGAGCUCCAUGCAGGGAGGGUGUGAGUGAGAGUCAUUCCCCUGCAGUAGCAGCUCGGUAUAGACAGAGGCACAAGGAGGUAUGUGCUGGUGUUCACAAAAUUCAAGGCAGAGCUGGCACCCUGAGUGAGGAGCAGGACUGGGUGGCCGACCCACACCCAGUGUCUGCCUGGUAUGAGGCCUGAAUGCUGUGCAGCUCUCCUCCCAAGGGCCUUGGGGGACAUAGAAGCAUCAUUGCGUCCUACGGCUGGUCCCUUAAAUGUCCAUCUCAAAU